CAGGUGCGCCAGGAGGUCAACAUCACUUGAGUCCUUCCACUGCCAUCUUCACAGGUUCAUUCCAGGAACGAGCGCAAACAGUCUGAAUUUUCAGCUGUACCUCCUGAAAGGCCUUUAUAGAUGGAACCAGGACAGAGAAGCUGCUUCUCUGGCAGUCAAGCCACCAUCACUGCUGAGCUACUCAGGGGACCUUGUACAGUGUGUGAACAAUUACAGUACCAAGGUACUUGGCAGGAAGCUCGUCCCAUCUUUUCAGCCUCCUUCUGGUACACCGGAGAGCUAAUAGGUAUUGAUUACCUGUUCAGACAAACUGGAAGGGCCAUGCAGAACAUUGAGCCUGACACAGAGGAGACUGACCAGAUGCUGGAGGACAUAGGCACUGAGGAGGAGCUGGAAGAUGAGGGUUUUGAGGAUGCCAAUGUGGACCCCACUGUUGGCCUUUUAGACAUCACAGACCCAUCCUCUCAGCCAUCGCCACCUCAGC
ensembl:lncRNA